rnacentral:rRNA from 1 species
UACGAAGGGGGCUAGCGUUGCUCGGAAUUACUGGGCGUAAAGGGAGCGUAGGCGGACGGUUAAGUCAGAGGUGAAAGCCCAGAGCUCAACUCUGGAAUUGCCUUUGAUACUGAUUGUCUUGAGUAUGGGAGAGGUGUGCGGAACUCCGAGUGUAGAGGUGAAAUUCGUAGAUAUUCGGAAGAACACCAGUGGCGAAGGCGGCACACUGGCCCAUUACUGACGCUGAGGCUCAAAAGCGUGGGGAGCAAACAGG